CCUACGGGAGGCAGCAGUGGGGAAUAUUGCACAAUGGGGGAAACCCUGAUGCAGCGACGCCGCGUGAGUGAAGAAGUAAUUCGUUAUGUAAAGCUCUAUCAGCAGGGAAGAAAAUGACGGUACCUGAGUAAGAAGCCCCGGCUAACUACGUGCCAGCCGCCGCGGUAAGACGUAGGGGGCAAGCGUUAUCCGGAUUUACUGGGUGUAAAGGGAGCGUAGACGGCAGUGCAAGUCUGGAGUGAAAGGCGGGGGCUCAACCCCCGGACUGCUCUGGAAACUGUACGGCUGGAGUGCAGGAGAGGUAAGUGGAAUUCCUAGUGUAGCGGUGAAAUGCGUAGAUAUUAGGAGGAACACCAGUGGCGAAGGCGGCUUACUGGACUGUAACUGACGUUGAGGCUCGAAAGCGUGGGGAGCAAACAGGAUUAGAUACCCGGGUAGUC
rnacentral:rRNA from 1 species